rnacentral:rRNA from 1 species
AAAGUGAGGAGCUUAUUCUGGACAGAUGUGAGGUCAAGAAUGAUGUAUGACGUAUGUGGAGAUUGCAUCAGUUUUGACACUACAUUCCUAACAAACACGUACAACUUGCCAUUUGCACCCCUUGUUGGCAUAUCCCCACAUGGCAACACAUACUUGUUUGCUUGUGCAUUCAUCGUCAAUGAGACAAAAGAAACAUUUGCUUGGUUGUUCGAACAAUUCCUGAUGGCUAUGGGAGGAAAGCAUCCUAUAUCAAUCAUUACAGACCAAGACAAGGCAAUGCAAGCAGCAAUUGAAAAAGUCUUUCCUAAUGCUACCCAUAGGAGCUGCCUCUUCCACAUAAAGAAGAAGGCAGAGGAAAAAGUCGGGCCCUGCUUCCAAGCUAAUGAGGGACUCUAUGAAGACUUCCAGGACAUUGUGGACAACUCCUUGACAGUUGAAGAAUUUGAAACACAAUGGCAAGAAAUGAUAGAAAAAUACCAAGUUCAUCACAUCAAGUACUUCAACGACAUGUGGGAAAACAGGAAAAAGUUCAUCCCUGUGUACUUCAAGGACAAAUUCUUCCCAUUCAUACAA